UCGAGAACGAACGAAAAAAUGACGGACGGCCGAAAGUAACCUUUCCGUGUAAGCGAUUAGCUGAUAAGUCAUUGAAAACGGAAUCAGCGAGAAAAAGGAGGAAACUACAAGACGGUAAAUGUGAUAAAGACGUUUAAAUAUCGACAAGAUGGAAAGAUGGCGGAGAACGAAGGACGCCGCCUCGGUCGAGUCGAACGAGUAAUUCACCCUGCUUCUACUCGACAUUUUAAUACUGAUGUCAUGCUCGAAGUAACACUUGCUACCAUGCCAGGGUCAUUUAAGGACGGGCCAGGUUUUGGAGGUGGAGGAAAGCCGAGUACCCGGAGAAAAACCACCGGCCUACGUAGCAUGUGAUGGACGGUGAAGGAAUAUCCAACACUCCCACUGUGACGUCAUCAUUACCAACAGAUACAUGUGUGAUGAGGGAUAUGCCGGAAAUCCGUACGACACGGAAGGAUGUACAUUUGGUUUUUUUUGUUAAGGAGGGCACCAUCACAACAACGGGGAUGGUAGCUCAAAUGAACACUGAUCUUGAGCGAAAGAAAGCACUGUAAAUCCUUACUGUCUUUGUAAUAUACAUUACGCUUUCUGCUGUUUAACUUGUAUGCAUUGUACUUAAUAAACUAUAUCGACAUUG